GAUGAACGCUGGCGGCGUGCCUAAUACAUGCAAGUCGAGCGAAAAGACGAGGAGCUUGCUCCUCUGACGUUAGCGGCGGACGGGUGAGUAACACGUGGAUAACCUACCUAUAAGACUGGGAUAACUUCGGGAAACCGGAGCUAAUACCGGAUAAUAUAUUGAACCGCAUGGUUCAAUAGUGAAAGACGGUUUUGCUGUCACUUAUAGAUGGAUCCGUGGCGGAUUAGCUAGUUGGUAAGGUAACGGCUUACCAAGGCAACGAUGCGUAGCCGACCUGAGAGGGUGAUCGGCCACACUGGAACUGAGACACGGUCCAGACUCCUACGGGAGGCAGCAGUAGGGAAUCUUCCGCAAUGGGCGAAAGCCUGACGGAGCAACGCCGCGUGAGUGAUGAAGGUCUUCGGAUCGUAAAACUCUGUUAUUAGGGAAGAACAAAUGUGUAAGUAACUAUGCACGUCUUGACGGUACCUAAUCAGAAAGCCACGGCUAACUACGUG
rnacentral:rRNA from 1 species